CAAUACUCUGCCUGCACGGGCUGGGCAGACAACUGUGGCACUUUCAACACUCUCAUUCCACUGCUGCCAAAAGAGUGGAAGUAUGUAGCUGUGGAUAGGCUGGCCAUGGCCUCUCCUCCCAUAGACCUCCUGGAGUCUUCUACAGCUUUCCUGCUUAUUGGCCGACAUACGUCGAGUCAUGGAGGUAUUAAUAAUUAUUAAAUGAAUUUAGUGGAUGCAUAUAUUUGUCCUAUUUCACACAUGCACAAGGUGUAUUAAUACAAAGUGUGAAUGUGAAAUGUGUUUUUUGCAUAUCCCACUCUCUCUGAGACGCCCUCUGGAGACUGGCGGGUCACGGCCAGUGUCUGCCUGGAGGCGACCCUGGAGCAAUUAGGGUUAAGUGCCGACCUUUCGGUUACUGGCCCAAUGCUCAAACCACUAGGCUACUUGCUGGGUUGAGCUUAUUCAGACCAAUGUGGCCUUUGCUCACAGUAAGAGCUGAAAAGUAAUGAUGUGAAGUUAGACAGAGCUAUAUGAGUUUCCUCGUUCUUUCUCUCCUAGGUAGGUGUAAUUUAAAGUAUGAAGCUACAUUUAGCAGAUUAUCUAUCUAUCUAAUCCAUUGAAAUGGUUUGCAGCUCUCCAAUGGAAGAGAUUCUCUAUAACGUCGACACAGUAUGGGUGGCAAUGUAGCUGGAAUGUUCAGUGCCCUGUAUCCAGAGAUGGUGAGUCAGUGGUUCUCCUGGACUCCUAUGGAUUCUUACCCACAGACGCG